rnacentral:rRNA from 1 species
GCCCUUUUCCGGUUGAUCCUGCCGGAGGCCAUUGCUAUCGGAGUCCGAUUUAGCCAUGCUAGUCGCACGGGUUAGACCCGUGGCGGAUAGCUCAGUAACACGUGGCCAAACUACCCUGUGGACCAGGACACUCUCGGGAAACUGAGGCUAAUCCUGGAUACAGCUUCCAGCCUGGAGUGGCGGAAGCUGGAAAUGCUCCGGCGCCACAGGAUGUGGCUGCGGCCGAUUAGGUAGACGGUGGGGUAACGGCCCACCGUGCCAGUAAUCGGUACGGGUGAUGAGAGUCAGAGCCCGGAGACGGUAUCUGAGACAAGAUACCGGGCCCUACGGAGCGCAGCAGGCGCGAAACCUUUACACUGCACGACAGUGCGAUAAGGGGACUCCGAGUGCGAGGGCAUACAGUCCUCGCUUUUCUGUACCGUAAGGUGGUACAGGAACAAGUGCUGGGCAAGACCGGUGCCAGCCGCCGCGGUAAUACCGGCAGCACGAGUGAUGGCCGAUAUUAUUGGGCCUAAAGCGUCCGUAGCCGGCCGGACAAGUCUGUUGGGAAAUCCACGCGCCCAACGCGUGGGCGUCCAGCGGAAACUGUCCGGCUUGGGGCCGGAGGACUCGAGGGGUACGUCCGGGGUAGGAGUGAAAUCCCAUAAUCCUGGACGGACCACCGGUGGCGAAAGCGCCUCGAGAAGACGGACCCGACGGUGAGGGACGAAAGCCAGGGUCUCGAACCGGAUUA